rnacentral:rRNA from 1 species
ACACGGACCAAGGAGUGCAACAUGCGUGCGAGUCUUUGGGUGACAAACCCUGCGGCGCAAUGAAAGUGAAGGCAAACGUUGGUUUGCUCAGGUGAGAGCCUCCUCGGGGGCGCAUCAUCGACCGAUCCCAGGCUACGCUGUAGCGGGAUUUGAGUGAGAGCGUGCCUGUUGCGACCCGAAAGAUGGUGAACUAUGCCUGAAUAGGGUGAAGCCAGAGGAAACUCUGGUGGAAGCUCGUAGCGAUUCUGACGUGCAAAUCGAUCGUCAAAUUUGGGUAUAGGGGCGAAAGACUAAUCGAACCAUCUAGUAGCUGGUUCCCUCCGAAGUUUCCCUUAGGAUAGCUGGAGCCCGGUGCAGUUUUAUCAGGUAAAGCGAAUGAUUAGAGGUCUUGGGGUUGAAACAACCUCAACCUAUUCUCAAACUUUAAAUGGGUAAGAAGCCCGGCUUGCUUAAUUGAAGUCGGGCAUGGAAUGCCGGGGCUCUUAGUGGGCCAUUUUUGGUAAGCAGAACUGGCGAUGCGGGAUGAACCGAAUGCCGGGUUAAGGUGCCCGAAUCGACGCUCAUCAGAUACCAUGAAAGGUGUUGGUUGAUCUAGACAGCAGGACGGUGGCCAUGGAAGUCGGAAUCCGCUAAGGAGUGUGUAACAACU